AAACAUCUUUUCUUGUUAGUUUUUGAAGUAUGGCCUGCCCGCUGACGUUUGUUGAAGGGCCGCGGUAUUUUGACCGUGCAAAGGUAGCAUAAUCAUUAGUUCUUUAAUUGUGAUCUGGAAUGAAUGGCUUGACGAGACAUGAGCUGUCUUAGUGUUGAAUAUUUUAUUGAAUUUGGUCUUUGAGUUAAAAUUCUUAAAUGUUUUUAUGGGACGAGAAGACCCUAUAGAGUUUGACAUUUGGCUUACUCAUUUGUUGGUUGUUUGUUUAUUUUAUUGGUGAGUGGGCUUUUUGUUUUGUUGGGGUGAUGAGAGGAAUUAUUUAACUCCUCUUAGUUUUGGUUAUAUUGAUUUAUAUUUAUUUGAUCCAUUUAUUUUGAUUAUAAGAUUAAAUUACCUUAGGGA
rnacentral:rRNA from 1 species